rnacentral:rRNA from 1 species
AGUGAACGCUGGCGGCAGGCCUAACACAUGCAAGUCGAACGGCAGCACAAGAGAGCUUGCUCUCUGGGUGGCGAGUGGCGGACGGGUGAGGAAUGCAUCGGAAUCUGCCCAUUUGUGGGGGAUAACCUCGGGAAACCGGGACUAAUACCGCAUACGACCUACGGGUGAAAGCAGGGGAUCUUCGGACCUUGCGCAGAUGGAUGAGCCGCUGCCGGAUUAGCUAGUUGGAGGGGUAAAGGCCCACCAAGGCGACGAUCCGUAGCUGGUCUGAGAGGGUGAUCAGCCACACUGGGAGUGAGACACGGCCCAGACUCCUACGGGAGGCAGAAGUGGGGAAUAUUGGACAAUGGGCGCAAGCCUGAUCCAGCCAUGCCGCGUGUGUGAAGAAGGCCUUCGGGUUGUAAAGCACUUUUGUUGGGAAAGAAAAGCAGCCGGUUAAUACCCGGUUGUCAUGACGGUACCCAAAGAAUAAGCACCGGCUAACUUCGUG